rnacentral:rRNA from 1 species
ACACUCCUGCGGGAGGCAGCAGUGGGGAAUUUUGGACAAUGGGCGAAAGCCUGAUCCAGCAAUGCCGCGUGAGUGAAGAAGGCCUUCGGGUUGUAAAGCUCUUUUGUCAGGGAAGAAACGGUGAAAGCUAAUAUCUUUUGCUAAUGACGGUACCUGCAGAAUAAGCACCGGCUAACUACGUGCCAGCAGCCGCGGUAAUACGUAGGGUGCAAGCGUUAAUCGGAAUUACUGGGCGUAAAGCGUGCGCAGGCGGUUUUGUAAGUCUGAUGUGAAAUCCCCGGGCUCAACCUGGGAAUUGCAUUGGAGACUGCAAGGCUAGAAUCUGGCAGAGGGGGGUAGAAUUCCACGUGUAGCAGUGAAAUGCGUAGAUAUGUGGAGGAACACCGAUGGCGAAGGCAGCCCCCUGGGUCAAGAUUGACGCUCAUGCACGAAAGCGUGGGGAGCAAACAGGAUUAGAAACCCGUGUAGUCCCA